UACGUAGGUGGCGAGCGUUGUCCGGAUUUACUGGGCGUAAAGGGAGCGUAGGCGGACUUUUAAGUGAGAUGUGAAAUACCCGGGCUCAACUUGGGUGCUGCAUUUCAAACUGGAAGUCUAGAGUGCAGGAGAGGAGAAUGGAAUUCCUAGUGUAGCGGUGAAAUGCGUAGAGAUUAGGAAGAACACCAGUGGCGAAGGCGAUUCUCUGGACUGUAACUGACGCUGAGGCUCGAAAGCGCGGGGAGCAAACAGGAUUAGAUACCCCGGUA
rnacentral:rRNA from 1 species